CUGAGUUUUCCUCUUUCUAAAGUGGGAAUAAUAAUUUCUAUCUUGCAGAUUUUUUUAGGAGAUUAAAUUGUUAAAUGUAAUUGACAUGUAACUGUAAUAUAACUGACAUGUAGGUAUUUUUUCAAUAAAUGUCCUUUCAGAUAGUGAGUUUUCUCUUUAGUUCAAGUUAGAAAGUAUAGCUGACUAUUUCUGUAGAAUUAGGACAUAAAAUUGGGGUUUAGAAAGAAAGUAUUUAUACAUGUAUCUAUUUAAUAUAUUUUUUAAUUUAGGAUAUGGAUCAAGACAAAACACUUGAAAUGUGAAUGGCUAAUAAUAUAUGAGAAAAAGCUCAGAUGUACAAGGAGUUAAAUACAAAUUAACCACAAAAUGGAUUUAUAUUUAUAAAUAUAAUGCUUAUUAUUGAUUUGGGACAAUUUUCCCUUCACAGACAUCACAUGUUCAAGAGCACAUGUUUGAAGAUGUUGGCGAGGAUGCAGACAAAGAGGAUCUCUUUUGCACUGCUGGUGGGAAUGCAAGCUGGUGCAGCCACUCUGGAAAACAGUAUGGAGGUUCCUCGAAAAACUAAAAAUAGAACUACCCUACCACCCAGCAAUUGCAUUACUAGGUAUUUAUCCAAGGGAUACAGGUGUGCUGUUUUGAAGGGACACAUGCACCCCAAUGUUUAUAGCAGCACUAUCAACAAUAGCCAAAGUCUGGAAAGAGCCCAAUGUCCAUCAAUGGAUGAAUGGAUACAGAAGAUGUGGUAAAUAUGUAUACAAUGGAGUAUUACUUGGCAAUCAAAAAGAAUGAAAUUUUGCCAUUUGCAACUACGUGGAUGGAACUGGAGGCUAUCAUGCUAAGUGAAAUUAGUCAGAGAAAGACAAAUACCAUAUGACUUCACUCAUAUGAGGAGACAAAACAGAUGAACAUAGGGAAGGGAAACAAAAAUAAUAUAAAAACAGGGAGGGGGACAAAACAGAAGGGACUCAUAAAUAUGGAGAACAAACAGAGGGUUACUGGAGGGGUUGUGGGAGGGGGGAUGGGCUAAAUGGGUAAGGGGCACUAAGGAAUCUACUCCUGAAAUCAUUGUUGCACUGUAUGCUAAUUUGGAUGUACAUUUUUAAAAAUAUAAAUAAAAUUAAAAAUUUUUUAAAAAGAGCA
rnacentral:lncRNA from 1 species